rnacentral:rRNA from 1 species
GGUUAAGCGACUAAGCGUACACGGUGGAUGCCCUGGCAGUCAGAGGCGAUGAAGGACGUGCUAAUCUGCGAUAAGCGUCGGUAAGGUGAUAUGAACCGUUGUAACCGGCGAUUUCCGAAUGGGGAAACCCAGUGUGAUUCGUCACACUAUCAUUAACUGAAUCCAUAGGUUAAUGAGGCGAACCGGGGGAACUGAAACAUCUAAGUACCCCGAGGAAAAGAAAUCAACCGAGAUUCCCCCAGUAGCGGCGAGCGAACGGGGAGCAGCCCAGAGCCUGAAUCAGUGUGUGUGUUAGUGGAAGCGUCUGGAAAGGCGCGCGAUACAGGGUGACAGCCCCGUACACAAAAAUGCACAUAUUGUGAGCUCGAUGAGUAGGGCGGGACACGUGGUAUCCUGUCUGAAUAUGGGGGGCCCAUCCUCCAAGGCUAAAUACUCCUGACUGACCGAUAGUGAACCAGUACCGUGAGGGAAAGGCGAAAAGAACCCCGGCGAGGGGAGUGAAAAAGAACCUGAAACCGUGUACGUACAAGCAGUGGGAGCACGCUUAGGCGUGUGACUGCGUACCUUUUGUAUAAUGGGUCAGCGACUUAUAUUCUGUAGCAAGGUUAACCGAAUAGGGGAGCCGAAGGGAAACCGAGUCUUAACUGGGCGUUAAGUUGCAGGGUAUAGACCCGAAACCCGGUGAUCUAGCCAUGGGCAGGUUGAAGGUUGGGUAACACUAACUGGAGGACCGAACCGACUAAUGUUGAAAAAUUAGCGGAUGACUUGUGGCUGGGGGUGAAAGGCCAAUCAAACCGGGAGAUAGCUGGUUCUCCCCGAAAGCUAUUUAGGUAGCGCCUCGUGAAUUCAUCUCCGGGGGUAGAGCACUGUUUCGGCAAGGGGGUCAUCCCGA